rfam:Coniosporium apollinis CBS 100218 chromosome Tnknown supercont1.24, whole genome shotgun sequence.
GCGUGGUUAGUUUAGGGGUAGAAUUGAAGCUUCCCAUACUAUGGAUUUGCUUCAGGCACGAGUUCGAGUCUCGUACCACGCA